rnacentral:rRNA from 1 species
UACGAACCGUACAAACGUUAUUCGGAAUCACUGGGCUUAAAGGGUGCGUAGGCGGCCAUGUAAGUGAGGUGUGAAAUCCCUCGGCUCAACCGAGGAACUGCGCUUCAUACUGCAUGGCUUGAGGGAGACAGGGGUAAGCGGAACUGAUGGUGGAGCGGUGAAAUGCGUUGAUAUCAUCAGGAACACCGGUGGCGAAGGCGGGUCUCUGGGCCGAUACUGACGCUGAGGAGCGAAAGCGUGGGGAGCGAACAGG